AUAUAUAAAAAAAUGAAAAUAUAUAAGAUGUGAAAAAGUUGCAAAUUACACAGUAGCACACUUUUAUGUUCAAUUAAUGUUACAGUAGUUAAACAUUUUGCCUGUGAAACCUCUUUACUGAAAGCGAUUCAUUGUGGAUUUUGGGUGGAGCUUUGAAGAAUAAAGGCACACACACGUGUGUGUCUCCAGUAUUCAUAUGUUGUGUGUGGUUCAGAAAUGAUGUUUCUGUGCUGUCUGCUUGUGUUAAUAACAUAUGAUACAUGUUUUGCACAGUCAAUAAAUCAACAGCAGAGUGAUUUUCAUGUCACUGAAGGGAUGACGGUCAAUCUCUCAUGCAAAUAUGAUGGCAGUGCAGACAGUUUACACUGGUAUCGACAGUAUCCUGGAUCAACACCUACAUUUCUGCUCCUUAUCUAUGAGUCUUCAAAAAGGAAUGUUAGGUAUGCAGAGCCUCGUGUCCCAAGACUGGAUGUCGAACUGAAUAUGGGAGAAAAGAAAGUGUAUCUGGAGAUCUCAUCUGUUAAAGUGAAAGACUCUGCUCUGUAUUACUGUGCACUGAUGCCCACAGUGACAGGAAACACAACAACACUAUACAAAAACUCCAUGAAGAGACAGAACAUGAAGUUAAUAUCUGUUUGUUUAUCAUAGGGUUUGGUAUUUGCAAUUGUUUCUAUGUCUUUGUUUUUAUUGUUUUCUAUGUCUAUAUCUGUUUUAUGUCUUAUAUCUAAUAUGAAAAACUAACAACCCGUGACAAGA